rnacentral:rRNA from 1 species
AGAGUUUGAUCCUGGCUCAGGACGAACGCUGGCGGCAGGCCUAACACAUGCAAGUCGAACGUGAAGCCACCUUCGGGUGGUGGAAAGUGGCAGACGGGUGAGUAACGCGUGGGAACGUGCCUUUCGGUUCGGAAUAACCCAGGGAAACUUGGGCUAAUACCGGAUACGCCCUUCGGGGGAAAGAUUCAUCGCCGAAAGAUCGGCCCGCGUCGGAUUAGCUAGUUGGUAGGGUAAUGGCCUACCAAGGCGACGAUCCGUAGCUGGUCUGAGAGGAUGACCAGCCACACUGGGACUGAGACACGGCCCAGACUCCUACGGGAGGCAGCAGUGGGGAAUAUUGGACAGUGGGCGAAAGCCUGAUCCAGCCAUGCCGCGUGGGUGAAGAAGGCCCUAGGGUUGUAAACCCCUUUCAGCGGGGAAGAUAAUGACGGUACCCGCAGAAGAAGCCCCGGCUAACUCCGUGCCAGCAGCCGCGGUAAUACGGAGGGGGCUAGCGUUGUUCGGAAUUACUGGGCGUAAAGCGCGCGUAGGCGGAUCUGCAAGUCGGGGGUGAAAUCCCGAGGCUCAACCUCGGAACUGCCUUCGAUACUGCGGGUCUCGAGUCCGGGAGAGGUGAGUGGAAUUCCUAGUGUAGAGGUGAAAUUCGUAGAUAUUAGGAAGAACACCAGUGGCGAAGGCGGCUCACUGGCCCGGUACUGACGCUGAGGCGCGAAAGCGUGGGGAGCAAACAGGAUUAGAUACCCCGGUAGUCC